ensembl:lncRNA
UAGCUCUGGACAAAGACUGAUUACUUCUACACAAUAUAACAAGGAAAAAAGCUUGUGGCAACUGUCUUCUCUGAACAGCUGUCUUGUGAACAUGGGCCUCAGUACAAUAAAGAGGACACUUCACACCCUACAACCCGUAAAAAUAACCCAGAUUUGACAGAACUACACACCCAUCUGAGGCCUACUGUACCUGUUUUACUUUCAUGAUCACUGCAGAUACUUCUACAAUUGACCCGCUUUGUGUCUGAUGUUGAUGCGGUCUGGGCACUAGUAUCUGUUGGCUUGCUGACUAUCACUGAAGAUGAAGUACUUCUCCAAAUCUUCUUUGCCUUGACCCUGUGUCUUCUGCCAUCAUUGUUCAGUGUAGUACUGCAAAGAACAGUCUCCAGGGUCUACCUCGAACAUUUGCUUCCGGACCGCCAUGUGCUACAUUUGGAUUACUGGUACAUGUGGAUUACCCUGAUACUGUGAAGAACACUUACAAUAUGAUGCUUGACGACUUGGGACAGAAAAAAACAAAAAGCAG